rnacentral:rRNA from 1 species
GAUGAACGCUGGCGGCGUGCCUAAUGCAUGCAAGUCGAGCGAACAGACGAGGAGCUUGCUCCUCUGACGUUAGCGCGGACGGGUGAGUAACACGUGGAUAACCUACCUAUAAGACUGGGAUAACUUCGGGAAACCGGAGCUAAUACCGGAUAAUAUAUUGAACCGCAUGGUUCAAUAGUGAAAGACGGUUUUGCUGUCACUUAUAGAUGGAUCCGCGCCGCAUUAGCUAGUUGGUAAGGUAACGGCUUACCAAGGCAACGAUGCGUAGCCGACCUGAGAGGGUGAUCGGCCACACUGGAACUGAGACACGGUCCAGACUCCUACGGGAGGCAGCAGUAGGGAAUCUUCCGCAAUGGGCGAAAGCCUGACGGAGCAACGCCGCGUGAGUGAUGAAGGUCUUCGGAUCGUAAAACUCUGUUAUUAGGGAAGAACAAAUGUGUAAGUAACUAUGCACGUCUUGACGGUACCUAAUCAGAAAGCCACGGCUAACUACGUG